rnacentral:rRNA from 1 species
GGCGAACGCUGGCGGCGUGCUUAACACAUGCAAGUCGAACGGAAAGGCCCUGCUUUUGUGGGGUGCUCGAGUGGCGAACGGGUGAGUAACACGUGAGUAACCUGCCCUUGACUUUGGGAUAACUUCAGGAAACUGGGGCUAAUACCGGAUAGGAGCUCCUGCUGCAUGGUGGGGGUUGGAAUGUUUCGGCGGUUGGGGAUGGACUCGCGGCUUAUCAGCUUGUUGGUGGGGUAGUGGCUUACCAAGGCUUUGACGGGUAGCCGGCCUGAGAGGGUGACCGGCCACAUUGGGACUGAGAUACGGCCCAGACUCCUACGGGAGGCAGCAGUGGGGAAUAUUGCACAAUGGGCGGAAGCCUGAUGCAGCAACGCCGCGUGCGGGAUGACGGCCUUCGGGCUGUAAACCGCUUUCGCCUGUGACGAAGCGUGAGUGACGGUAAUGGGUAAAGAAGCACCGGCUAACUACGUG